UAGGUCUCUGCCUGUCCUUGCUUCAGCCCUCUGAUCAUCUCUGUGGGCAGUACUGACACAGCUGUGGUCACUAUGGUGGACUGAAUCACUUAAAAUGACUUAAUUGUAGUUCCGCAGGCUCCGCAUAGGAAUACACUUAUGAGGCUGGCCUUGCACAGAAAUGGAUUACGUGCAUGGAUCCCCCUUCUGUGAAAUGCAUCACAGUUUGCUCCUCAGUGGAAGGCCAUCAGGGUCAACAUGAUCCCAGGGUCUGCACCUGAUGAGGAUGUCUAGCUAUGUGUCACGCCCUUGGAGAACAGUUGAGCCCGCAGAAAACAGAAGAGCUUCCAGUAUUCAGGAUCAGGGUUGGCUGUCAAUGGUAGUCAGAGCCAUGCAGCAGAAAAGAAAAAAAACAACUCUCUUUCUUUACUGUCGUGAUUCAUCGUGACUGAAAGCAUCUUUACCAAACUUUUAGGUCUGGCCAGGUGAUGUGAUCUGAAGUUUACUGAGAACUUGCAUUGCCUUCAUGCAACUUUGGCUGCAUCUUGUUUUUCAGGUAGAAAUUGAUUAUUUUAUGCUGUCAUGAGAGUGAAGGAAAAAAAGUACAUAACUCUUAUCAUGAAGAUGCAGUUCAUUCUCUCAAGCAGUGAGUCUUGAUCCAGAUGGUAUACAAUAUUAAACCAGAGAAUCUGGAUCCAGAUGGUACACAAUAUUAAACUAGUGAUAUCUCUCUAAGCACAUUUAAAAAUAAUUAAUAUUACCAUGGAUUUCCUCCAGACUUUCUCCCUAUCGUGAAUAUAGAGCAGUAUGUUCCAUUAGGAUGGGAAAAUUGCAAAGUUUUCUGUGUUAACCACUAAAUAAGUAAUCUACUUACAUCAUCAUGAUGCAGUAGGUAACAGCUUGAAUUCUAAGGAUUGAAAAGAUCAGCAGAUCUCAAUAGUUUUCCAAUGAACAACUUCAUGGAAUACUUUCCUGAAUGUGGGAGAGCUCCCCAGGUGUCCUCAAAAAGUUUCUUUCUUAAAUCUAUGGAAGAAUCUUAUAGAUCCAAACACUUAGAUAAUUUAUGUCAUUUAAAACAGAUGUGACUGUGUAAAAAACAUAUAGAAACACAUACAGAUACUUUGAGUUUCAAUUUAUUUUGACAUAUACAGUCGUACAGUCUAGGACAGAAAAACAUCACCACACUGGAGAAGUUCUGACUUCUAGAGUAGAUUUUUAAUAAUUUUAUUUUAUUUGAAGAUUGAAGAUUGAAAAACAACUCACUCUUGAAAUUCAAAGCUAAUUGUCUUCUAUAGUGCCUUAUCUACAUAACCAGAAGACAGCUGCUUUGCUUGCAAAAGGUAGGAGGACCACUGUUAAAAUCUUCAGUCUUUUUAUAUCACGUAUCACAGAGCAGCAGCUGGAUGGAAAAUCAAGAAGCAAAUAAGAAGAAUGCAAAUAUGUCUACA
rnacentral:lncRNA from 1 species